UACGUAGGUGGCAAGCGUUAUCCGGAAUUAUUGGGCGUAAAGCGCGCGCAGGCGGUUUCUUAAGUCUGAUGUGAAAGCCCACGGCUCAACCGUGGAGGGUCAUUGGAAACUGGGGAACUUGAGUGCAGAAGAGAAAAGCGGAAUUCCACGUGUAGCGGUGAAAUGCGUAGAGAUGUGGAGGAACACCAGUGGCGAAGGCGGCUUUUUGGACCGUAACUGACGCUGAGACACGAAAGCGUGGGUAGCAAACAGG
rnacentral:rRNA from 1 species